CAAGAAACAAAUAAGAUAGAACUACACUCCCUGGAUUCAAAUCCUGGUUUUACUCCUACUAGCUGUGAGACUUUGGGCAAGUUGCUUAGUCUCUCUGUGCCCCACUUCCACAUCUUUAAAAUGGAAAGUAAUGGUACACACCACAGGGGACUAUGAUGAGGAUUGAGUACAUGUACAUGAAAUGCUUCAAACAGUGCCUGGCACACAGGGGUAUGGGAGGAGGAACAGUUAGUAUUGCCUUGUACAAAGAGGAAAUUAUUUUUUUCUAGAUGGAAAGUUAAACAUUGUCAUUCUUGUACAUUGUCAUUCUUCUAGUUAAAAUUCUGCAUAGAAUAAACAAUAUAUAGGUUUGUUAAAACAUACAUCAUAGCGAUAUACAAGUUCAAUUUGUCAAUCAUACAUCAAUAAAGUUGGGGGGAAAAUCAACCAAUCAACCAGCCAACCAACUAAACAAAUGAACAAACAACAAACAAAUGAACAAAAGCACUGUCACUGUUUUAGACAUGAAGCCUAUUCAGCGUGAAAUCCAGACAUUUUCACAAGGCAGAUUAAAUAUGGCUUUAUGGCUAAACCCUUAUUUCUUUAGGGAUUUUCUGGUAUUAUGCACAUAAAAAAUUUUGUUUUGCUUUACAGAGUUAUGGCCUCACCUGAAAACAGUUAUCUACAAGUCAGUUCACUUGCUGUGGAAUUAUUUUUAAUGUUUUACAUAAUCAAGGAAGAUCCUGCCAGAUGGCAAUCUCAGCCCGUCUCCUCGUUACUGGACCACCCAAGGGUGACCGGGAAGGCGAGGACUGGAUGUACUGUCUCCUUGCUACGAUUCUCCGGGCUGCCUUUCCCUCUUGAAGUCCUGACAGGAGCAGAGACUGAGCUGACAGCUGAGAAGUCCUUCUUUACACAUGGCUGCUGGGUGCGGUGGGAGCUUCUCUGAGCCAGAUAACAAUGCCUAACAGGGCAAAGACUGGGAUCAGGUGAGCGCCGUGCACCGAGACCCGGUAGGCAUCCCGCGUGUUUGCUGCAAAUUCCGGAAAUGCAGGAGGCAACUUCUUUGGCUUUGCCAUUUGGAGCGCUACAACCAGGAUCCACAGGCCAGUGGAAUCUGGGAAACUUGCCUUAAACCGUCCACCUCUGUGGUAAGUAGUAAGAUGAGAAGGGGUGGAAAUCGAACGGUGAAAAGAUUGC
rnacentral:lncRNA from 1 species